CCCAGGGGUCGGGCAUAGCCUGUAGAGAUACAGGGUAAUUCCCGAUGAUGUCGAGAGACCAAAGGUCCGCCGCCCUUGGAGGAGCCCAUAUGAUAUUAGCUUGUUGGUGAGGUAGCGGCUCACCAAGGCGAAGAUGUCUAGCGGGUGUGAGAGCACGACCCGCGCCACUGGCACUGAGACACUGGCCAGACACCUACGGGUGGCUGCAGUCGAGGAUCUUCGGCAAUGGGCGCAAGCCUGACCGAGCGAGACCGCGUGUGCGAUGAAGGCCUUCGGGUUGUAAAGCACUGUCGAGGGGGAGAAAGGGAAACCUGAUCUAUCCCUGGAGGAAGCACGGGCUAAGUUCGUGCCAGCAGCCGCGGUAAGACGAACCGUGCGAACGUUGUUCGGAAUCACUGGGCUUAAAGGGCGCGUAGGCGGGCCACCAAGUCCGGGGUGAAAUCCUCCAGCUUAACUGGAGAACUGCCUCGGAUACUGGAGGUCUUGAGGGAGAUAGGGGCAUGCGGAACCGUGGGUGGAGCGGUGAAAUGCGUUGAUAUCCAUGGGAACUCCGGUGGCGAAGGCGGCAUGCUGGAUCUUUUCUGACGCUGAGGCGCGAAAGCCAGGGGAGCAAACGGGAUUAGAUACCCCGGUAGUCCUGGCCCUAAACGAUGAGAACUAGGUAGUAGACUAAACAUGGGUUUACUGCCGAAGCCAAAGUGCUAAGU
rnacentral:rRNA from 1 species